GAAUUAGGUCAAUGGAAUCUGC
rnacentral:siRNA from 1 species